AACAACUUUUGCGUUGUUAAGGAAUUAAAAGGGAAUGCCGUGUAAACCGGCAACAGAACCUGCUGCUGUAAAUCUCCGCUCCUUGUAAUCAGAGAGUAAAAUUGCAACACGAAAGUCACUGGAUAGUUUAUCUGGGAAGGCGUUGCAAAAUGGGAUGAGUCAGAAGACCUGCCUUGAUGCU
rnacentral:ncRNA from 1 species